rnacentral:rRNA from 1 species
GACGAACGCUGGCGGCGUGCUUAACACAUGCAAGUCGAACGGAUAGGCCCUGCUUUUGUGGGGUGCUCGAGUGGCGAACGGGUGAGUAACACGUGAGUAACCUGCCCUUGACUUUGGGAUAACUUCAGGAAACUGGGGCUAAUACCGGAUAGGAGCUCCUGCUGCAUGGUGGGGGUUGGAAAGUUUCGGCGGUUGGGGAUGGACUCGCGGCUUAUCAGCUUGUUGGUGGGGUAGUGGCUUACCAAGGCUUUGACGGGUAGCCGGCCUGAGAGGGUGACCGGCCACAUUGGGACUGGGAUACGGCCCAGACUCCUACGGGAGGCAGCAGUGGGGAAUAUUGCACAAUGGGCGGAAGCCUGAUGCAGCAACGCCGCGUGCGGGAUGACGGCCUUCGGGUUGUAAACCGCUUUCGCCUGUGACGAAGCGUGAGUGACGGUAAUGGGUAAAGAAGCACCGGCUAACUACGUG